GGAUCAAGAACUUACUAGUCGACGUCUCGUUUUUUUUUUUUUUGUUUCGAUCAGUAACUCUCUUCCCGCUCCCUCUCGUUUCCUUCCAGUCGCAGAUGUAGCAAAACUUGAGAUCGUGAUCGGUUUGCAGGAGUAGGUCGCUGGAAAAUGUAACCCUUGUCGGAACAUGCACAAACCCACAGUUUCUCUCUGUUCACUCUCGCAAUUGCCGCAACUCGACAAAGUGAUCGUGCAGUUUAACCCACAGCACCCCAAACGAAACAAAACGGACAGAAGUGAAGGAAACGCACCUAAUUAAGGUGGUGUUUGUUUUUUUAAAAAUACCUCUUCAGACCUCUUAGUGCUGCGCGGCGCAGCACACGCGCAACACUUUUAAGUUCGUAGCAGUUUGUUUUCUAAAAGACUUCGGGCUCCAAAACCUCUUCCUGUCCUCUUCCCCACACAACAUUGAGCUUGGCUCUUCUCGCCUCUUCUAACCUAAUAAACAAAAAAAACGCCCUAAACAAAACAAAACAAAACAAAACAAAACAAAAAAAAAAAAAAAAAAAAAACACGGAAGAUCGCUCCAGCCGUUCUCCUUCUUCGUUCGUUCUCCUUCUUCAUUCUCAGCUUUCUCUCGUCAAUCGCCGACUCCAGCCGCUCGUCGGUCGCCGCUGCCUCUCGCCGGUCGCCACUGCUGCUGCCCGGUGCUCGUUCUUUGCUGUCAUCGUCAACAUCGACAAGUUAGGUUUUUUUUUUCUGAUUUCUUAUUUUAGUACCGAUUUUAUGUUGUGUAGUACCAAAUUUCUGCUUUGAGUACCAAUAUUGUUGCUGAGAUGUAAAGAAUUUUUACCUAAUCUCCCCAAAUAACAGAACCCAUAUUUUAUUUCACUUCUUCACCUCUUGAAGCACCGAACCAUGGAGCUCCUAAAAAUAUUCAUGGCAUUGGCUUUGAGUUCGACCUAAUUCUUCAGGUGAAGCAAAGGCAAAAAGGAGCCAAAAGAAUGUUGCUCCAAGUGUUUAAUCAAGUUUUUGUGAAGGAGCUCCAAAUCAAGAGCAGUUUGAAGCAGUUCAUAAAGAUGUUAUUUAGCUAAAACAAUGUAAUUUUAAUGUUAAUUCAUUUAAUUUGUAAAUAGUAUUGAAUGUUCUUAUAAAAAAAUGUAAUGAAUUUUAUUUUAAUAUUGUAAGACUAAAAUUAUUAUUUUU